rnacentral:rRNA from 1 species
GGAGCUAAUACCGAAUGUGGAGGUGCAAUUGGAAAAGCAUCUCUAAAGAUGGCCUCUAUUUAUAAGCUAUCGCUUUUUGAUGGGCCUGCGUGCCAUUAGCUAGUUGGUGGGGUAAUGGCCUACCAAGGCAACGAUGGCUAGCUGGUCUGAGAGGAUGACCAGUCACACUGGAACUGAGACACGGUCCAGACUCCUACGGGAGGCAGCAGUGGGGAAUCUUGCACAAUGGGCGAAAGCCUGAUGCAGCAAUACCGCGUGAGGGAGGAAGGUCUUCGGAUUGUAAACCUCUGUCGAUUGGGAAAAAUGGUUACGUUUCGAAUAGGUACGUAAUUUGAUGGUACCAAUGAAGGAAGCACCGGCUAACUUCGUGCCAGCAGCCGCGGUAAUACGAAGGGUGCAAGCGUUGUUCGGAAUUAUUUGGGCGUAAAGCGCGCGCAGGCGGGAAAGUAAGUCAGAUGUGAAAUCUCGGGGCUCAACCUCGAAACUGCGUCUGAAACUACUUUUCUAGAGUUAUGGAGAGGGCAGGGGAAUUUCACGUGUAGGGGUAAAAUCCGUAGAGAUGUGAAGGAACACCGGAGGCGAAAGCGCCUGCCUGGACAUACACUGACGCUGAGGCGCGAAAGCGUGGGGAUCAAACAGGAUUAGAUACCCUGGUAGUCCACGCUGUAAACGAUGAGCACUCGCAAUGGGGAUAUUAAUCGUUUCCGUUGCUUAGCUAACGCGUUAAGUGCUCCGCCUGGGAAGUACGGUCGCAAGAUUAAAACUCAAAGGAAUUGACGGGGGCCCGCACAAGCGGUGGAUUAUGUGGUUUAAUUCGAAGCAACGCGCAGAACCUUACCUGGGCUUGAACUCCUCCGAACCUGGUAGAGAUAUCGGGGUGCCCUUCGGGGAAUGGAGAGAGAGGCGCUGCAUGGCUGUCGUCAGCUCGUGUUGUGAAAUGUUGGGUUAAGUCUCGCAACGAGCGCAACCCCUAUUCUUAGUUGCCAGCAUUAAGUUGGGCACUC